GACGUAGGUGGCGAACGUUAUCCGGAAUUAUUGGGCGUAAAGGGCGCGUAGAUGGCCUGACAAGUUAGCAGUGGGAAAUCGAGGCUCAACCUCGUGGAAGCUGGUAAUACUGUCUGGCUCGAGUGCAGGAGAGGUUAACAGAACUCCAUGUGGAGCGGUAAAAUGCGUAGAUAUAUGGAAGAACACCAAUAACGGCGAAGGCAGUUAACUAUUCUGCUACUGACAUUGAGGCACGAAAGCGUGGGGAGCAAAAAGG
rnacentral:rRNA from 1 species